rnacentral:rRNA from 1 species
UACGUAGGGGGCAAGCGUUGUUCGGAUUUACUGGGCGUAAAGGGCGCGUAGGCGGUCGUGACAAGUCACUUGUGAAAUCUCCGGGCUUAACUCGGAACGGUCAAGUGAUACUGUCGGACUAGAGUACAGAAGGGGCAACUGGAAUUCUCGGUGUAGCGGUGAAAUGCGUAGAUAUCGAGAGGAACACCUGCGGCGAAGGCGGGUUGCUGGGCUGAUACUGACGCUGAGGCGCGAAAGCCAGGGGAGCGAACGGG